AAUAUUGGUGGGAGACCGAUAGCGAACAAGUACCGUGAGGGAAAGAUGAAAAGAACUUUGAAAAGAGAGUUAAAGAGUGCUUGAAACCGUUGAAAGGGAAGUGAUUGGCACUAGUGUGGUCUGUCGUUACCUUCGGGUGCGGCGGUACCGGUCAGCAUCGGUUGGCCCUGCGGGAGAGUGUCGUCAGGAAGGUAGCCCGGUUUCGGCCGAGUGUUUAGCCUGGCGUCGUGCGCCGCGGGGGUGACCGAGGGAUUUCUGCGCCUGAUGGGCGUCUGUGCUCGAAGUGUUCGUGGUUGUUGUCUCCUACUCGGAGUUUCGGCCGCGGCUACUAGAUCCUGGGCGUCGUGAGGAGCGUUAGGGAUGCUGACAAAAUGGUGUCAAUCAGCCCGUCUUGUAACACGGACCAAGGAGUCUAACAUAUGCGCGAGUGUUUGGGUGGCAAACCCGGGCGCGUAAUGAAAGUGAAGCGGUACUCUUCGGAUGCCGUGUGGUGGGAGGGCGGUGCCUCGCGUGCUGCCCGCACCAUCGACCGAUCAUGCGUCUUUGACAAAAGAUUCGAGUUUGAGCGUAGAUGUUGGGACCCGAAAGAUGGUGAACUAUGCCUGAGCAGGGCG
rnacentral:rRNA from 14 species